rnacentral:rRNA from 1 species
AGGGCGCAAGGUGAAUGCCUUGGCACUGGGAGCCGAUGAAAGACGUGGUAAGCUGCGAAAAGCUUCGGGGAGGAGCAAACAUCCAUUGAUCCGGAGAUAUCUGAAUGGGGCAACCCAAUGGAGUUCAUACUCCAUUAUCCAAUACUGAAUCCAUAGGUAUUGGAAGGGAACCGCCUGAACUGAAACAUCUAAGUAGGGCGAGGAAGAGACAUCAAACGAGAUUCCGUAAGUAGUGGCGAGCGAACGCGGAAGAGGGCAAACCGAGAGGAGAAAUCCUUUCGGGGUACGGACUGCUUUUAGGACUGAAAGAGUUAACAGAAUGGCAUGGGAAGGCCAACCGAAGAGUGUGAGAGUCACGUAAGUAAAAAUUCUGACAGCUGCGCAGGAUCCAGAGUACGGCCAGACACGUGAAACCUGGUCGGAACAUGGGGGGACCACCCUCCAACCCUAAAUACUACCCAGUGACCGAUAGCGUAUAGUACUGUGAAGGAAAGGUGAAAAGGACCCCGGGAGGGGAGUGAAAGAGAACCUGAAACCUUGUGCCUACAAGCACAUAGAGCCCGUCAAAGGGUGAUAUGGUACUUUUUGUAGAACGGUCCGGCGAGCGAUUGUACGUUGCGAGCUUAAGGUCUUAAGGACUGGAGGCGUAGCGAGAGCGAGUCUAAACAGGGCGUUUAGUAGCGUGCAAUGGGCCCGAAACCGGGUGACCUACCCAUGAUCAGGCUGAAGUGAAAGUAAAAUUUCAUGGAGGGCCGAACCGACCUCCGUUGAAAAGGCGGCGGAUGAAUUGUGGGUAGCGGAGAAAUUCCAAUCGAACUCGGAGAUAGCUGGUUCUCCCCGAAAUAGCUUUAGGGCUAGCCUCAUGUUAGAUAUCCGGAGGUAAAGCACUGAAUGGCCUAGCGUCCGAGAGGAUAGCGAAGCCUAUCAAACUAAGAAUGCCGGAAUAUUGAUGCAUGGGAGUCAGACAGUGUGAGAUAAAUCUCAUUGUCAAAAGGGAAACAGCCCAGAUCUACAGCUAAGGUCCCAAAUUGUAUCUAAGUGGAAAACGAUGUGGAAAUACGCAGACAACCAGGAUGUUGGCUCAGAAGCAGCCACUCAUUUAAAGAGUGCGUAAUAGCUCACUGGUCGAGCGUCUCUGCGCGGAAAAUUUAACGGGGCUAAGAUACAAACCGAAGCUUAGGCUGCAUACGUAAGUAUGCGGGGUAGGGGAGCGUUGUGUAAGCGGAGAAACAGUAGCGAAAGCGGCUGUGGAGUUUACAGAAGUGAGAAUGCCGGAAUGAGUAGCGCGAAUGAUGUGAGAAUCAUCAUGGCCGGAAACCUCAGGUUUUUGGAGGAAGGUUCGUCCGCUCCAAGUUAGGCGGGAGCUAAGGUGAGGCCGAAAGGCGUAGCCGAUGCACAGACGGUAGAGAUUCCGUCCCCACCGAAAGAUUUAAGCGCAGGGACACUUUUAGAAGGUCGGAGCCAGGUGUUGGUUCUGGUAGAGAUCGAGGGAAGAUUAGUACCGAAGUCCGGCUGGAUAAGAGGCGAGAAAAGCUGCGUGUAUAUCUAAGGUGCCCGUACCGCAAACCGACACAGGUAGGUAGGAAGAAGAUUCUAAGGCCAACGGGAGAAGGGUUGUUAAGGAACUCGGCAAGUUGACCCCGUAACUUCGGAAUAAGGGGUGCUCAUGAAAGUGAGCCGCAGAGAAUAGGCCCAGGCAACUGUUUACCAAAAACACAGGUUUGUGCUAAAUCGAAAGAUGACGUAUACGAGCUGACGCCUGCCCGGUGCUGGAAGGUUAAAAGGAGAUGUGCAAGCAUUGAAUUGAAGCCCCAGUGAACGGCGGCCGUAACUAUAACGGUCCUAAGGUAGCGAAAUUCCUUGUCAGGUAAGUUCUGACCCGCAUGAAAGGCGUAAUGAUUUGGGCACUGUCUCAACAGCCCGCCCGGCGAAAUUGUAGUACCGGUGAAGAUGCCGGUUACCCGCGACAAGACGGAAAGACCCCAUGGAGCUUUACUGUAGCCUAAUAUUGGGUUUCGGUGUUGCAUGCACAGGAUAGAUGGGACGCUAGGAAGUGAGUGCUUUGGCAUUCAUGGAGCGGCCGUUGGGAUACCAUCCUUGCGACAUUGGAAUUCUAACCUGCGCCUUUGAAUCAAGGCGGGGGACAUUGUUAGGUGGGCAGUUUGACUGGGGCGGUCGCCUCCUAAAGAGUA